rnacentral:misc_RNA from 1 species
GAUGAAGAACGUAGCAAAAUGCGAUAAGUAAUGUGAAUUGCAGAAUUCAGUGAAUCAUCGAAUCUUUGAACGCACAUUGCGCCCGCCAGUAUUCUGGCGGGCAUGCCUGUUCGAGCGUCAUUUCAACCCUCAAGCAUAGCUUGGUGUUGGGACUCGCGUUAAUUCGCGUUCCCCAAAUUGAUUGGCGGUCACGUCGAGCUUCCAUAGCGUAGUAGUAAAACCCUCGUUACUGGUAAUCGUCGCGGCCACGCCGUUAAACCCCAACUUCUGAAUGUUGACCUCGGAUCAGGUAGGAAUACCCGCUGAACUUAAGCAUAUCAAUAAGCGGAGGA